GUUCAUAUGAUAAAUUAAACUGUUUAACUGCUGAAUUAUACCGACAUGAACUAGAACUUAAUUCUGACAGAA